GGAAGCAUUGUGAUGAGAGUGAUGAUCCGGCUGUCCCAGUGUGCCAGGUCCUGGGUUGGGGUCCAUGUUGCCCUUACAACUGUUUAGCAAGAAACAUGUUAUUCGAUCCAUUCACCAAGGAGGAAACUGAAGUUCAGAGAAGAGUGAGUCAGCUCCAAAUUCCAAAGUGAUGGAAGUGGACUUGGGUCCCCCAUCUACUUGUCCAUUCCUGGGACAGAUGAGACAGGAUUAUAUGUCAGACCAAUUCUUCAAGAUCAGAUGACCUAUUAAGUCCAAGGACUCAUCUGAAACAUCAGUCACGCUCUGGUCCAGAGAGGUGGUGUUUUUUCCAAGGUCACACAGCAGGUGGCCAAGAUGGAGCCAAGUCAUUUUCCCCACUGCAAGGCUCAUGGUUUCGACUCUGUUGGUUCUCUAGCAGGACACGGGUGUCCUCCAGGUCACAGGGUCAGCUAACACCUUGAUCACCCACAGUGGAGGUGAGAACCUGCCCACUCUCUGACACUUCGGUGGCCAAGACUAUCCCUACAUCUUACCUUCUGCUCCAGCUCUUUCCUGGCUGUCAGCUCCGAGUCCAGCCUCUCCUCACAUUGCUGCAGACGCUUUCUGAGGAACUCGUUCUCCAUCUGAGCACAAUCAAAGCGCAUCUGCCACUCAUCUGCUGUUUAAUGGAGGCAGGGAGACCAGGAUAAGAGGCCAAAUGAGCAAAAAGUGAAAAAAAUACAAAAUCUGAGGCUGCUCUGUGCAUUCCAUGCUCCCCAUCUGUUUCACUUCUCCAGCCCAUCUGCUUCCCACCCUACUGACCACAUCACCAACUGCUGAGACCAAAAUACAUAUUUCAAUAGACACAGAGGAGAAAGAAGGCUUGGGAGAAGCAUUGCAAAGUCACCUCACAUGUUAAUCAUAACGAAGUAAUGAUUACCUUUGCCAUUUCACUGAUGAUGAAACAGAGGCUAAGAGACUUGAAGACUUUGCCCACAAUCUUGUGGCAGUAAGAGCACACGGUCAGCCAUCUGGAACUCAAGCCUGCUCCACCCUCUGUCCCUCCAAACUGGACAUACAAGGUGCUUCCAACAAGAAGGCCACCUCUGCUUUCUUAUGAAAAUUUAAAAACAAAAAAAACCAGUUUGUAUCAGGGCAGAUUUUGCAUGCUUGAAGAGUAUUUACAGCCAGCUUCUUAAAAGCUCCUCACCUCCUCGUCUGCUCCUUCACAAAUGAAGCACUUAAAUCAUUUUGCAGUAAUGCUGUCUUUUAAUAAGCCUAGUCAAACGGAGUUUCCGCCAACGAGACACAACAUGUUUUCGCAAUGUUUCUAU